rnacentral:tRNA from 1 species
GGCGGAUGUAGCCAAGUGGAUCAAGGSAGUGGAUUGKGAAU